rnacentral:rRNA from 1 species
UUUGAUCCUGGCUCAGGAUGAACGCUAGCUACAGGCUUAACACAUGCAAGUCGAGGGGCAUCAGUUUGGUUUGCUUGCAAACCAAAGCUGGCGACCGGCGCACGGGUGAGUAACACGUAUCCAACCUGCCUCAUACUCGGGGAUAGCCUUUCGAAAGAAAGAUUAAUAUCCGAUAGCAUAUAUUUCCCGCAUGGGUUUUAUAUUAAAGAAAUUCGGUAUGAGAUGGGGAUGCAUUCCAUUAGUUUGUUGGGGGGGUAACGGCCCACCAAGACUACGAUGGAUAGGGGUUCUGAGAGGAAGGUCCCCCACAUUGGAACUGAGACACGGUCCAAACUCCUACGGGAGGCAGCAGUGAGGAAUAUUGGUCAAUGGACGCGAGUCUGAGCCAGCCAAGUAGCGUGAAGGAUGACUGCCCUAUGGGUUGUAAACUUCUUUUAUAUGGGAAUAAAGUUGUCCACGUGUGGAUUUUUGUAUGUACCAUAUGAAUAAGGAUCGGCUAACUCCGUGCCAGCAGCCACGGUAAUACGGAGGAUCCGAGCGUUAUCCGGAUUUAUUGGGUUUAAAGGGAGCGUAGGCGGACUGUUAAGUCAGUUGUGAAGGUUUGCGGCUCAACCGUAAAAUUGCAGUUGAUACUGGCAGUCUUGAGUGCAGUAGAGGUGGGCGGAAUUCGUGGUGUAGCGGUGAAAUGCUUAGAUAUCACGAAGAACUCCGAUUGCGAAGGCAGCUCACUGGAGUGUAACUGACGCUGAUGCUCGAAAGUGUGGGUAUCAAACAGGAUUAGAUACCCUGGUAGUCCACACAGUAAACGAUGAAUACCCGCUGUUUGCGAUAUACAGUAAGCGGCC